GAUGAACGCUGGCGGCGUGCCUAAUACAUGCAAGUCGAGCGAACAGACGAGGAGCUUGCUCCUCUGACGUUAGCGGCGGACGGGUGAGUAACACGUGGAUAACCUACCUAUAAGACUGGGAUAACUUCGGGAAACCGGAGCUAAUACCGGAUAAUAUAUUGAACCGCAUGGUUCAAUAGUGAAAGACGGUUUUGCUGUCACUUAUAGAUGUAUCCGCGCCGCAUUAGCUAGUUGGUAAGGUAACGGCUUACCAAGGCGACGAUGCGUAGCCGAACUGAGAGGGUGAUCGGCCACACUGGAACGGAGACACGGACCAGACUCCUACGAGAGGGAGCAGUAGGGAAUCUUACGCAAUGGGCGGAAGCCUUACGGAGCAACGCCGCGUGAGUUAUGAAGGUCUUCGGAGCGUAAAACUCUGUUAUUAGGGAAGAACAAAUGUGUAAGGAACUAUGCACGUCUUGACGGUACCUAAUCAGAAAGCCACGGCUAACUACGUG
rnacentral:rRNA from 1 species